rnacentral:lncRNA from 1 species
UUCUGGUGCUAAAAUGGAUUCAUCUUUGAACUUAUAAUACUUUUUUGGAUAGUCCACUUCUGAAGGUAGCUGGUAUGUGUGAAAAAAUAUGGAAGCGAGUGCAUUAAUAAAAAGUUUUGGAAGAUCGUCGACGAACAAAAACAAAGGUUACUGCUUUAGGAAAUCUGAAUUCUUCUUCAAAGCAAUUGCUUAAUAUGAAAGAAAUUCUGAGCAAAUUUUAAUGUGAAAGUCUUAGACAAUAUUAAGUGUCUACUUAAAAUAAUAGUUAUACUUAAGUUAGUUAUGGACAAUCAAAGAUACUCGUAUGUUGCAUAUUAUUACAUGAUCUGGAUCAUCAACUGAAAUAGCAUGCAUGGAACAACAUGCAAGUAUGCAACCAUCAAACGCUGGCAAGGAAAACUUAUUGCAUACUGGCAGGACACCUGAGGACAUGCCUGUUGGAUGGACGGAGAAACUUCAAAAACUGAACAUAUGUUUUACGAUACAGUAGAAAAAGAAAGAAAUACAUCUUCUGGCGCUAAAAUGGAUUCAUUGUUGAUAUUGAAAUGCUUUUCUAAGUAACAUACUUCUCUGGUUUCAUAGCUGAAAAUAAUUUGGAAGCGAUGUGUGAAUGAAAAGUUUUAUUUGAACUAUUGAAAAAUUGUCGACGAAUAAAAACAAAAGUUAGGUACUUCUUUAAGAAAUCUGAACUUUGUUUUUAAAGUUAUUGCUUAAAGAAACUACUCAUCAAUUAACCUAAUAUAAGGUAAUGCAUUUUUCCUGGUAUUUUAAGCUAAGUAUAUUAUCAGGUGAACAGUCAAAAAAUGUAGUUUAUUAACAUUUUUGUUCUGAGUAUAUAGUUAAGACAUAUCAUGGUUGUAACAAUAUUUUAAUUAAUGUCCUAGGCAUGCAUAAAUUGACUUGAACAUAUUUUUAUCACUUUGGUUCCCUGAAAAUCUGGAAAUAAGACUUGUUUUUGUUAACGAUAUAGUAUGUUUGCAAUAUUUGUAUACUUCACGUGAUAAAUUAUACAUAUUAUUAUUUCUUAUUUUAAUUUUCGGUACAAAUUUUCACAUUAUAGUUUUUCCUUAGAAGCGUUCUAAGAAUAUUGUAAUGCACUCAUAAGAGUGUCGUGAUUAUUAGUAGAUCGAUUAUAAUAAUUUAUUGUUGAAGUAUUCCAGGUUCGCAUUGUCCAUAUAAUAAAAGUAAAUUUAAAUAUGUCUUAGAAAAAAUGAAUAAUAUAAAAUAACACAUCUAUUAAAACUUACUCUGAGGUUAUGACAGGAAAUCAAAAUGUUAAUUAAGAUAUAAUGCCAAUCUUUUUAAAAUUAUUUUAAAUAUGUGAUGGUAACAAGUGUAGAUGUUGAACCAAAUAUUCUGUUUCAUUAUAUUAUCAUAUUUUAAGUAACAGAUAAAACAAUUUUUAAAAACACAAUUUAAAUAAGACAUUUAUAUAAUUAUACAUUUUAAUUCAUACAGAAAAUAUUUGUACUUUUUAUAUAUUUUUUUAUUUUUUUUUAAUACUAUUUUAUAAUUCUGUAGUAUAUUAAUGUCCCCCCUGUUAUCUAAGUAAUUAAUUAACAAUUAUAUAUUUUAUAUGAUUAAUAAUUUUUUUAUGUACCUUGUUUGUAUUUUUCAUUACAGUUUAACAUAUUUUUAUUGUUAAGUACUGCAAUUUUGAUAUAUUUUCACUACAAUUUUGACAUAUUUUUAAUGUAGGUUAUUAUAUCUGGUCUUUACUUGUAAUAACUAUAAAUUAAAUGGUAGAUUUAGUACCCAUGCUGUAACAAAACUUUCAUAUUGGAACAAAUAUUAAUAAAUUGUUAAAUAAUUAAACCUGAAUAAACAAUAGCAAAUAAAA